UAACAGGAUUCCCCUAGUAACUGCGAGUGAAGAGGGAAGAGCUCAAAUUUUGAAUCUGGCGGGGCCGUCCGAGUUGUAAUCUAGAGAAGCGUCUUCCGCGUCGGACCCGUGUACAAGUCUCCUGGAAGGGAGCGUCAUAGAGGGUGAGAAUCCCGUCUUUGACACGGACGUGUGAUGCGCUCUCGACGAGUCGAGUUGUUUGGGAAUGCAGCUCAAAACGGGUGGUAAAUUCCAUCUAAAGCUAAAUAUGGGCGAGAGACCGAUAGCGAACAAGUACCGUGAGGGAAAGAUGAAAAGAACUUUGGAAAGAGAGUUAAACAGUAUGUGAAAUUGCUGGAAGGGAAACGUUUGAUGUCAGUCGCGUCGGCUGGGGGUCAAUCUGGCGCUGGGUGUAUUUCCUGGUCGACGGGUCAGCGUCAGUUU
rnacentral:rRNA from 2 species